rnacentral:rRNA from 1 species
GAUGAACGCUGGCGGCGUGCCUAAUACAUGCAAGUCGAGCGAACAGACGAGGAGCUUGCUCCUCUGACGUUAGCGGCGGACGGGUGAGUAACACGUGGAUAACCUACCUAUAAGACUGGGAUAACUUCGGGAAACCGGAGCUAAUACCGGAUAAUAUAUUGAACCGCAUGGUUCAAUAGUGAAAGACGGUUUUGCUGUCACUUAUAGAUGGAUCCGCGCCGCAUUAGCUAGUUGGUAAGGUAACGGCUUACCAGGGCGACGAUGCGUAGCCGACCUGAGAGGGUGAUCGGCCACACUGGAACUGAGACACGGUCCAGACUCCUACGGGAGGCAGCAGUAGGGAAUCUUCCGCAAUGGGCGAAAGGCUGACGGAGCAACGCCGCGUGAGUGAUGAAGGUCUUCGGAUCGUAAAACUCUGUUAUUAGGGAAGAACAAAUGUGUAAGUAACUAUGCACGUCUUGACGGUACCUAAUCAGAAAGCCACGGCUAACUACGUG